rnacentral:rRNA from 1 species
UGGGGAAUCUUGGACAAUGGGCGAAAGCCUGAUCCAGCCAUGCCGCGUGUGUGAAGAAGGUCUUCGGAUUGUAAAGCACUUUAAGUUGGGAGGAAGGGCAGUAAGCUAAUACCUUGCUGUUUUGACGUUACCGACAGAAUAAGCACCGGCUAACUCUGUGCCAGCAGCCGCGGUAAUACAGAGGGUGCAAGCGUUAAUCGGAAUUACUGGGCGUAAAGCGCGCGUAGGUGGUUUGUUAAGUUGGAUGUGAAAGCCCCGGGCUCAACCUGGGAACUGCAUCCAAAACUGGCAAGCUAGAGUACGGUAGAGGGUGGUGGAAUUUCCUGUGUAGCGGUGAAGUGCGUAGAUAUAGGAAGGAACACCAGUGGCGAAGGCGACCACCUGGACUGAUACUGACACUGAGGUGCGAAAGCGUGGGGAGCAAACAGGAUUAGAUACCCAAGUAGUCCCUGAGCGGGCUGGCAAGGCGCAU